rnacentral:rRNA from 1 species
CCCUUAGAUGUUCUGGGCUGCACGCGCGCUACACUGAAGCGUUCAACGAGUAUUUCACCUUGCCCGGGAGGGUUGGGUAAUCUUUUUAAAACGCUUCGUGAUGGGGAUAGAUUAUUGCAAUUAUUAAUCUUCAACGAGGAAUUCCUAGUAAGCGCGAGUCAUCAGCUCGUGCUGAUUACGUCCCUGCCCUUUGUACACACCGCCCGUCGCUCCUACCGACUGAGUGAUCCGGUGAAUAAUUCGGACUGCAGCAGUGCUUGGUCCUCCGGGCUUUGCAGCGGAAAGUUUAGUGAACCUUAUCACUUAGAGGAAGGAGAAGUCGUAACA